GAGUUUGAUCAUGGCUCAGGAUGAACGCUGGCGGCGUGCCUAACACAUGCAAGUCGAACGGGGCAAAUAUUUAACACUGUGUACUUGAUAAACAUGGCUAUAUAUAAAAUAGCCGGCGUUUAAACAUUAAUGAGUCCAUCUAAAGAGCGAAUUAAUGUUUCACGCCCACCAAAGUGUCUAACACUUUGGCAAAGCUGAAGGCUUUGGUGAAUAACACAUGUUAAACAUCGAGUAUAAAGUGUUAAAUAUUUGCUUAGUGGCGGAUGGGUGAGUAACGCGUGGGCAACCUGCCCUAUACAGGGGGAUAACAAUGGGAAACCAUUGCUAAUACCCCAUAACACCUUUUGGUGGCAUCACUAAAAGGUCAAAGAAUUUCGGUAUAGGAUGGGCCCGCGUCUGAUUAGCCAGUUGGUGGGGUAACGGCUCACCAAAGCGACGAUCAGUAGCCGGCCUGAGAGGGUGAACGGCCACACUGGAACUGAGACACGGUCCAGACUCCUACGGGAGGCAGCAGUGGGGAAUAUUGCACAAUGGGGGAAACCCUGAUGCAGCAACGCCGCGUGAGCGAUGAAGGUUUUCGAAUCGUAAAGCUCUGUCCUAAGGGAAGAUAAUGACGGUACCUUAGGAGGAAGCCCCGGCUAACUACGUGCCAGCAGCCGCGGUAAUACGUAGGGGGCGAGCGUUGUCCGGAUUUACUGGGCGUAAAGGGUGAGUAGGCGGUAACGUAUGUCAGAUGUGAAAGGCGAGGGCUAAACCCUCGUAAGCAUUUGAAACUGCGUAACUUGAGUGCAGGAGAGGUAAGUGGAAUUCCUAGUGUAGCGGUGAAAUGCGUAGAUAUUAGGAGGAACACCAGUGGCGAAGGCGACUUACUGGACUGUAACUGACGCUGAGACACGAAAGCGUGGGUAGCAAACAGGAUUAGAUACCCUGGUAGUCCACGCCGUAAACGAUGAGUGCUAGGUGUUGGCCGAGAGGUCAGUGCCGCAGUAAACGCAAUAAGCACUCCACCUGGGGAGUACGGCCGCAAGGUUAAAACUCAAAGGAAUUGACGGGGGCCCGCACAAGCAGUGGAGUACGUGGAUUAAUUCGAGGCAACGCGAAGAACCUUACCAGGGCUUGACAUCUCCUGUAGAUCUAAGAGAUUAGAUUGUCCCUUCGGGGCAGGAAGACAGGUGGUGCAUGGUUGUCGUCAGCUCGUGUCGUGAGAUGUUCGGUUAAGUCCGGCAACGAGCGCAACCCCUGUGGCCAGUUGCCAUCAUUCAGUUGGGCACUCUGGCAAGACUGCCGUUAAUAAAACGGAGGAAGGUGGGGAUGACGUCAAAUCAUCAUGCCCCUUAUGUCCUGGGCUUCACACGUACUACAAUGGUAACAACAGAGGGCAGCCACACCGCGAGGUGGAGCGAAUCCCGAAAUGUUAUCCCAGUUCGGAUUGCAGGCUGAAACUCGCCUGCAUGAAGCAGGAAUUGCUAGUAAUGGCAGGUCAGCAUACUGCCGUGAAUACGUUCCCGGGCCUUGUACACACCGCCCGUCACACCAUGAGAGUUUGUAACACCCGAAGUCAGUAGUCUAACUCAGCAAUGAGAGGGCGCUGCCGAAGGUGGGACAGAUGAUUGGGGUGAAGUCGUAACAAGGUAGCCG
rnacentral:rRNA from 1 species